AUUGCCUCAGUAACGGCGAGUGAAGCGGCAACAGCUCAAAUUUGAAAUCUGGCCCUCUCAGGGCCCGAGUUGUAAUUUGGAGAAGAUGCUUCGGGUGCGGCCCCGGUCUAAGUUCCUUGGAACAGGACGUCACAGAGGGUGAGAAUCCCGUACGUGCCCGGUGGCCGCCCCCGUGUGAAGCUCUUUCGACGAGUCGAGUUGUUUGGGAAUGCAGCUCAAAAUGGGUGGUAAAUUUCAUCUAAAGCUAAAUAUUGGCCAGAGACCGAUAGCGCACAAGUAGAGUGAUCGAAAGAUGAAAAGCACUUUGGAAAGAGAGUUAAACAGUACGUGAAAUUGUUGAAAGGGAAGCGCUUGCAACCAGACUUGCGCGCGGCCGAUCAUCCGGUGCUCGCACCGGUGCACUCGACCGCGCGCAGGCCAGCAUCGGUUUGGGUGGCUGGAGAAAGGCCGCGGGAAUGUGGCUCCCCCCGGGGAGUGUUAUAGCCCGCGGCGCAAUGCAGCCCACCCGGACCGAGGACCGCGCUCCGGCUAGGAUGCUGGCGUAAUGGUUGUAAGCGGCCCGUCUUGAAACACGGACCAAGGAGUCUAACAUCUAUGCGAGUGUUUGGGUGUCAAACCCAUACGCGGAAUGAAAGUGAACGGAGGUGAGAACCCUGAAGGGUGCAUCAUCGACCGAUCCUGAUGUCUUCGGAUGGAUUUGAGUAAGAGCAUAGCUGUUGGGACCCGAAAGAUGGUGAACUAUGCCUGAAUAGGGUGAAGCCAGAGGAAACUCUGGUGGAGGCUCGCAGCGGUUCUGACGUGCAAAUCGAUCGUCAAAUUUGGGCAUAGGGGCGAAAGACUAAUC
rnacentral:rRNA from 1 species